ACGACAUCGUGGACGGCAACCACCGCCUCGUCCUCGGCCUCAUCUGGACCAUCAUCCUCCGCUUCCAGAUCCAGGACAUCAUCGUGCAGACACAGGAGGGCCGGGAGACGCGCUCCGCCAGGGAUGCGCUGCUGCUCUGGUGCCAGAUGAAGACGGCGGGGUAUCCCCACGUGAACGUCACCAACUUCACCUCGAGCUGGAAGGACGGGUUGGCUUUCAACGCCCUCAUCCACAGGCACAGGCCUGAGCUGGUUGACUUCCAAAACCUGACCAAAUCCAACGCCCGGCACAACCUGGAGCAUGCGUUCAGCGUGGC